rnacentral:rRNA from 1 species
UAGGGAAUCUUCCACAAUGGACGCAAGUCUGAUGGAGCAACGCCGCGUGAGUGAAGAAGGUCUUCGGAUCGUAAAGCUCUGUUGUUGGUGAAGAAGGAUAGAGGCAGUAACUGGUCUUUAUUUGACGGUAAUCAACCAGAAAGUCACGGCUAACUACGUGCCAGCAGCCGCGGUAAUACGUAGGUGGCAAGCGUUGUCCGGAUUUAUUGGGCGUAAAGCGAGCGCAGGCGGAAUGAUAAGUCUGAUGUGAAAGCCCACGGCUCAACCGUGGAACUGCAUCGGAAACUGUCAUUCUUGAGUGCAGAAGAGGAGAGUGGAACUCCAUGUGUAGCGGUGGAAUGCGUAGAUAUAUGGAAGAACACCAGUGGCGAAGGCGGCUCUCUGGUCUGCAACUGACGCUGAGGCUCGAAGGCAUGGGUAGCGAACAGGAUUAGAUACCCUGGUAGUCCACGCCGUAAACGAUGAGCGCUAGGUGUUG